rnacentral:rRNA from 1 species
GACGAACGCUGGCGGCGUGCUUAACACAUGCAAGUCGAACGGAAAGGCCCUGCUUUUGUGGGGUGCUCGAGUGGCGAACGGGUGAGUAACACGUGAGUAACCUGCCCUUGACUUUGGGAUAACUUCAGGAAGCUGGGGCUAAUACCGGAUAGGAGCUCCUGCUGCAUGGUGGGGGUUGGAAAGUUUCGGCGGUUGGGGAUGGACUCGCGGCUUAUCAGCUUGUUGGUGGGGUAGUGGCUUACCAAGGCUUUGACGGGUAGCCGGCCUGAGAGGGUGACCGGCCACAUUGGGACUGAGAGACGGCCCAGACUCCUACGGGAGGCAGCAGUGGGGAAUAUUGCACAAGGGGCGGAAGCCUGAUGCAGCAACGCCGCGUGCGGGAUGACGGCCUUCGGGUUGUAAACCGCUUUCGCCUGUGACGAAGCGUGAGGGACGGUAAUGGGUAAAGAAGCACCGGCUAACUACGU